UCCUCCCAUCAGCACCUGCGUCACUAUCAUGGUUGGGCGAUGGAAGGGAGGAGAAGGAGUUCCUUUUCAGCUUCUGCUCUCAGUUUCUUCAGAAUUUCCUCACAGAGUCAUCAGAUUGUAGCUUGCAAGCUACCACUAAGUGGUCCUUCCUCCGCCAUCUGGUCUUGCUAGCAGAUAGCACUUGGAACCUAACAGCUCCACUGGCUUCCGGGGAGGAAAAAUUCUCACAUGGGAACCCAGAAAUAAGCAACAGCGAAUCAAAGUCAAACAGACCUGACCCAGGAACUGUCUUUGAUCAUCUAGAAAAUUGAGGCACACUUCUUGACAUGUUCAAGAGGAUUACUAAGGGCAGAAAAUGUGGCUGGGAUCCCGUGAGAAUCUGAUGAAGUCAAAGAAGACAGGGAGCAGAAGACCAGCAUCUGCCCUUUCCUGGCCCAGGAUGAAUUCUGCUGUAGUACACCUUCCCUGCUGUGAUGGACAGAUCCUCUGGAAGUGUGGGCCAACACUUACCUGACCUCUUUAAAGUGUUGGCUACAAUACACUUAAGGUAUUGUGGUUGUAAGGUAUACACAGCAACACAAAAGUAACUAAUCCACUUAUGUGCUGGGCUUUUAAUAGCCACUUGGGAUUCCAUUGAAACUAA